rnacentral:rRNA from 1 species
CGUGCCCAGUCGUGGGGGAUAACUGCUCGAAAGAGCAGCUAAUACCGCAUACGACCUGAGGGUGAAAGCGGGGGAUCGCAAGACCUCGCGCGAUUGGAGCGGCCGAUAUCAGAUUAGGUAGUUGGUGAGGUAAAGGCUCACCAAGCCGACGAUCUGUAGCUGGUCUGAGAGGACGACCAGCCACACUGGGACUGAGACACGGCCCAGACUCCUACGGGAGGCAGCAGUGGGGAAUUUUGGACAAUGGGCGCAAGCCUGAUCCAGCCAUGCCGCGUGCGGGAAGAAGGCCUUCGGGUUGUAAACCGCUUUUGUCAGGGAAGAAAAGGUUCUGGCUAAUACCUGGGACUCAUGACGGUACCUGAAGAAUAAGCACCGGCUAACUACGUGCCAGCAGCCGCGGUAAUACGUAGGGUGCAAGCGUUAAUCGGAAUUACUGGGCGUAAAGCGUGCGCAGGCGGUUAUGCAAGACAGAGGUGAAAUCCCCGGGCUCAACCUGGGAACUGCCUUUGUGACUGCAUGGCUAGAGUACGGUAGAGGGGGAUGGAAUUCCGCGUGUAGCAGUGAAAUGCGUAGAUAUGCGGAGGAACACCGAUGGCGAAGGCAAUCCCCUGGACCUGUACUGACGCUCAUGCACGA